rnacentral:rRNA from 1 species
UCCCAAACCCAAUGUGAACGUUACCAAACUGUUGCCUCGGCGGGAUCUCUGCCCCGGGUGCGUCGCAGCCCCGGACCAAGGCGCCCGCCGGAGGACCAACCAAAACUCUUAUUGUAUACCCCCUCGCGGGUUUUUUUAUAAUCUGAGCCUUCUCGGCGCCCCUCGUGGGCGUUUCGAAAAUGAAUCAAAACUUUCAACAACGGAUCUCUUGGUUCUGGCAUCGAUGAAGAACGCAGCGAAAUGCGAUAAGUAAUGUGAAUUGCAGAAUUCAGUGAAUCAUCGAAUCUUUGAACGCACAUUGCGCCCGCCAGUAUUCUGGCGGGCAUGCCUGUCCGAGCGUCAUUUCAACCCUCGAACCCCUCCGGGGGGUCGGCGUUGGGGAUCGGCCCUCCCUCUGCGGGGGCCGUCUCCGAAAUACAGUGGCGGUCUCGCCGCAGCCUCUCCUGCGCAGUAGUUUGCACACUCGCACCGGGAGCGCGGCGCGUCCACAGCCGUUAAACACCCCAACUUUCUGAAAUGUUGACCUCGGAUCAGGUAGGAAUACCCGCUGAACUUAAGCAUAUCAAUAAGCGGAG